rnacentral:rRNA from 1 species
GACGAACGCUGGCGGCGUGCUUAACACAUGCAAGUCGAACGGUGAAGCGCCUUCCUUUUUGGUGGGUGUGGAUGAGUGGCGAACGGGUGAGUAACACGUGAGUAACCUGCCCCCUUCUUCUGGAUAACCGCAUGAAAGUGUGGCUAAUACGGGAUAUUCUGGGUCUGUCGCAUGAUGGGUCUGGGGAGGAUAUUGUUUCGGUGGGGGAUGGGCUCGCGGCCUAUCAGCUUGUUGGUGGGGUGAUGGCCUACCAAGGCGGUGACGGGUAGCCGGCCUGAGAGGGUGGACGGUCACACUGGGACUGAGACACGGCCCAGACUCCUACGGGAGGCAGCAGUGGGGAAUAUUGCACAAUGGGCGCAAGCCUGAUGCAGCGACGCCGCGUGAGGGAUGGAGGCCUUCGGGUUGUGAACCUCUUUCGCCAGUGAAGCAGGCCUGCCUCGUUUGUGGGUGGGUUGACGGUAGCUGGAUAAGAAGCGCCGGCUAACUACGUG